ACACGGAGAAUAAAAUGGCCUCCUCGAGGAACCAGUGUGAGGAGCAGAAUGGAAUAAUCCAGACCACCUUAGAACAAAUGUCAUGCCUGCUGAUACCUUCUGUAUAGCCCUGAAGCAAUUUCAAGAACGGGAGUAGGGCUCCUCUUUGAUACCCAAAGCAAAACACCAAGAAAGAAGAGUACGGAGCCACUGGUGUCUCCUUCUCCGAGGACCACCCCCCAGUGGUGAAGAGAAUGAUAAUCACUGUCUCCCUAUGCUUCCUGCUUGGUGGACAUAAGAUAUCGGAUGGCAUGAACAGAUCCUGGUUCUAUGGCCUGGUUUCUGCCUGCCGGGAGAGAUCCAAGUGGCCCACCUUGGGGAGGGCAAGGAAUUAUCUUCAUAGUGUAUGGAUGGACACCCAAGCUCGUCUCCCUGGGAGCUGUUGUGUAUGACUUCCAGUUGUCCCCUCCUAGGGUGUGGCUGUGCAGUCUUCCUAGCAAAAUUGAUCUUUGUCAAUGCUCUGCGAUUUCUCUCCCUACCCACCUCUUCUUUUCCUUUGGGGACCGCAGUGCCUGCCCUGGUUGGCUCUUACGAGUCAGUUCUACCUAUUUUGGUCAAACUCCACUCCAGUUUGGUCCUUUUCCAAGACAAAUGCAAAAGCCACGGGGGGCUGGAGAAUUGCCCGGGCAGAGAAUUGUCCAACAGAAGUUCAAUUAAUUUCUCAGGUUGCUGUCAGGGCCUUGUGCAGCCAAGCCUAGCAGGGACCCUGGCUGGCCUUCUGGGUAGACAUUAAGGAUGUUGGAGGGUCUCUACUUGUGCCUUUCGAUGUGAGGACCAAUCCCAGACUCCAUCACCAUCACAAACACAAUGAGGGCAAAGCUUUGGCGUUCUUCAAUUUAAGAGUCAGAAGGAAAGCGAAGUGGAGAGAGCCGGAGCAGCAAGCAAAGAUGUGGAGGAGAGCCGAAGCUGAGCACACAAACUACACAGCAAAGACAGCUUCAUCCAGGGCGGCCCUGGUCACCCCUCUGAGUCUGACCAUCUUCAGAUUUCUGCACAUCCCAUUCCCCUCCAUCCACAGUAGCCACGGGAUUUUUAUGUAACAUGGACAAUGGGCAGGUGCAGCCUGAAGACCUGUUCCAAGCCUCAUUUCCCUAUGCUACAUCUCACCAUGUGUUCAAGGCCAGGGAACUGUGCUCAGUGGCUGCUCGUGUCCGUAUAAUUGUCUCCAAAUUGCUCCAAGUGGCCUUUCUAGGCAGGAGCUCUUCACAAUUAGCCCUCUUGUGGAGAUGUUGAGAGGAGACACACCUCUGAGCAUGGCUGUGAUCGUGUUUCCGGGGAGGAUUUUCUAAGGAGGAAGGACCGACUCUGACUGGGGACAGCACCAGUCCGUAGACUGAAUCAAGAGGGGACGCCGGCUGAGCACCAGCACUCAUCUCUCUCUGCUUCUCGCUCUGCUCAGGUGUGAGAAAG